rnacentral:sRNA from 2 species
UCCUAGCCCAGAUUGAAACAACAUCCUUUUCUUGCUUUCUUUAAGCAAGGAAAGAUAGCGUGUAAAGCUGGAAAUAGC